GUGAACGCUGGCGGCGUGCUUAACACAUGCAAGUCGAACGGUAACAGGAAGUAGCUUGCUACUUUGCUGACGAGUGGCGCACGGGUGAGUAAACUAUAGUUAAUGUGCCUCGAAGGCUGGGAUAGCCACUGGAAACGGUGAUUAAUACUAGAUACACCUCUUUAGCUCAAGCUAGAGAGGGAAACGUUUUUUCGCUUCGAGAUCAGACUAUAUCCUAUCAGUUAGUUGGUAAGGUAAUAGCUCACCAAAACAAUGACAAAUAGCGGUUCUAAGAAAAUGAUCCACCACACUGGUACUGAGACACGGACCAGACUCCUACAGAAGGCAGCAAUGAAAAAUAUUGCACAAUGAAAAAAACCCUAAUACAGCAACGCCACAUGGAGGAUAACGCAUUUCAAUAUGUAAACUCCUUUUAUAUGUCAAGAAAAUGACGGUAGCAUAUGAAUAAGCACCGGCUAACUCCGU
rnacentral:rRNA from 1 species